UCCACCUGAAAGGGACAUAAACGUGAGGAAGUGCAUGUGGUGGGCAACAAGCGUGGAACAUCACUAUGGAAGGAUGGGUUUUGCUAAGAGGAGAGACUCUUCAGAGUAGCUUCAUGGAGAAAAAUAUGGCAAAUCCUCUCUUACAGGCCUAAAAUUGGUGUGAUUCCCUUGUCUCUAGAGCUGUCUAUUUCUCUACCUUCUUCAGCACUAAAGAAGUUCCUCCACUCUCCCCAAAGGGAGUCACUUCAACCUGCCUUACUCUUCAUGUAUCUGGUGUUUCUUAUCCUUGGUGAGCACUUCCUGCUUGGGUAAGGAAGAAUCACAGAAGAAGCAACUGUGUGGGAAAUGUGAGCUGACCCUGCUGGUUUGGGUCAGCAGUCCCUUCACGGGCCCAGCAGUUUGAUGUGAGACAUUCCAUCCUAUCACUAUCCAUACCUCUGCUCCAGAACCAUCACCAGGUGCCUUCAGUUGCUUUGGUAGCAGACUCUCAGAACUGAAGAGGAUGUGGAAGACAACUGGACAUGGCAUGAGAAAUUGCUCAACAUGAGAGAUAAUACUGUGAGAACCUGACAAAAGUUACAGAUAGUGUUGUGAGGUCUGGCUGGAUUUCACAGGUGGCAGGGGAGUUAUAUGAGAAAAGGUUUUACAGAGAAUUGAAGAGGAGUACUGGAGACAGAUGGAGAGUAGUAUCCUGCAAGGCAAACAGCCCAUAUCAAUAAUAGUAUGGAAUGUCAAGAUUAUGUAGAAAUGCUCAAUUUUGGAUGCAGCAAAACUGUGACCAAUGAGGAAAAGAUAAUUAGAGGAGAGUGUUAAUUUGGUAGAAGGUUGAAAUGGAGAAAGGAAGGGAAGGUGGCAAAAAUGAGAGUCUAAUGAGUUAUGUGAAUUGAGUGGCUGGUGUGAUCUUGCUACCCAUGGGGCAGCCCUAUGUUGUGUACAUUAGGACAAUAAGCCAAACCUCUUGUUCUGACCAAGCCACGUAAGUCAAAACUGCUUCUGCUGUCAGGAGGAGCUGGAGGUGUGCUCUUGCUGACAUGGGAGCUCCUGGACAGAUGGAUCGAGGAUCCUGGCAUUGCAACACUGAUGUCUGUUCCAAACCUGACAACACUAGCAUUUUCUUAUCAGUUCUUAACACUUGUAAUUGAACAGCUUUGUGCAAACACAAUACACUCUGUGCCUAGAAUCCUGCUCCAGUGCCAGUUCAAGUGGCCUUGUUUUGCUGAGCAAAGUCCUACCAGGGGUAUCAACUGGAUCUAUAUGAAAUUUUCAUCCUACUUUGUGAGUUUCUGUGGAAUAUGACAGUAUCUGCUUUAAUAGUACACUGAAAUUGCUGCCUGCUUGGCAGUGAAUUGGAAAAUGAGCAAAACCUUUAUCCUGAUACCUUUUAUUUAGAAGGCAAACUGACAGGACUCAGUCAUCACUGACGUGGGAAUCAGAGAACUGUACCUUGUGGAGGAGGCCGUGGUUGUGACAGUUGUCCAAGUGGAGGUCCAGACUGAGAUUUCAUUGACACAGGCUGAACUUGUGGAGGCUAGAGAGAAAAAAGCCAGUCCAGUUAAUACAGAGUCCCCAAAGAGAAGCUCUGAGGUAAUACAGGAACUGUAGAGUCAUGAAGUGUUCCUUAAAUACACACUCACAGACAUCCAGCAUCUGGCUGGUAAAAUCUCAUGGGACUAAAAUGCAGAGCAAACAUUAAAAUCCCUGGAAAUGCAAAGUUGAAGGUUGAAUUGCUCAAGAAAGGCACUGACUCACGCUCAGAUAACAAUCGGAAGUGCACUCCACCCUGGCAAGGCCGCAAGAGUACACUCUUGGAGGGAAAUGGAAAAUUUUGUACCCUCUUUUUUUAGAUUUAAAGUAGAGGAGAUCAGUGAGGAUGAAGAGGUGUUCAGCUUGUGGGCAACUUCUUCCAGGAGGGGAUGAGGUGAGGUUCUUCCUCCCAGAAGCCUUUCCAAAUCCUUCCUGAACAACGCUCCAUACAGGAUAUGUUGUUCAGACUCAUGAAAAACUGACUGAGGAUUUUAGGCAGAGAAACCUCCAAGGAAUCUUGAGCACACAUCAGGCUCUGCCCAAGGCAGACAUCGGACAGCCUGCUCUGACAACACUCCAGAUAACCCUGCCAUAGUGCACAAGCCAGGACAAGUCAACAAGCUGACAGGAUACAUCCAGGAAGCCUCUCCAUGCUGAAAGAGAUUUAUGAGGGGAGUAUGAGGUGUGAUCCAACACGUCAAUAUGAGAUUGUGGGAGCCCUUGCUGCCAGUUCUCUCACAUUUUCAGCAACAUGUACAAAAGACACUGAAUUUGCAAAACUACAUUCAGCAGUGGUAAUACUGAUGUCCUGGUAGACUAUAAACUUGAAUCAUUAUAGCUGACCACCUAAGGUUCCCCUCUACUCUUGAGAGAGACACCCUGGAGUGCUUUCCCAAUUCUCCUCUAAACAGGCAUGUUUAGUUGCUGUGAAAUUGAAAUUAUCUUCGUGACCAUGUUUAAUGGACUGGACUGGGGGAGCUGAAGGAGCAUGAUUACUGUGUUGAAUAACUGUGUUUUCAUAUAGCUGACUUUUGGGCCUAUUGCUUUCCCCUGGCAUCCAUUCUGCUGCCCUACUUCCCAAGCAAAAGAAUGAAUUCCUCCUCAAGCUUGGACCAUCAUUAUCCCUUUGAUGGCCUGUAAGGUCAGCGUUCAGUCCUCAGUCUUUCUUUCUCUUUUGAUAUGGGAUUCAUAGGAUUAUGUUUUUCAGUUCUGCAAUGGGAAGAACUACUCUUUGCUAACAUUUAUUUUUAACAGAAAAUUGCCCUGCAGUGCCAGAGGGAAUCCAAAGUCUCAUUAGUACUGAUAGGAACUCCUGGAGUCUCAUUAGUGAGAAGAUGAUUUGACAUUGGGGUUUAGAAAAUGUACCUGGCAUACCAAAUGUAAGCAGCUGUGUUGUCCCUAAGAAAAUUAAACCACAGUUUGACAGUUUUACAAGAAAAUUUGUCAUGGGAAAGGUCCCAAAAUAAGAACUCUGCUCAAGCCAUUGGGCUGAUUUGAUGGACUUGUUUAUGCCUAUCCAGCUUGAGCAGCAUAAGAUUUAAAAUAUCUCUCUCUGCUGUAUUCCUAACUUUCCUGUUAGGGAACCUUGCUGUUUUGAAACUGAAGAGUUUUAUUUGAAGCCUACUGGAUCAGACACCAAACCCUACACCACAGCCUCUGUCAAGAUCACUCCCUUCCAAGCAAGUCUGAGCAGUUCAGAUGUUAACUGUGACCCCAAUCUUACAGAAUCACAGAAUCACUGCAUAUUCUCAGUUAGAACGGACUCAGAAGGAUCAUUAAGCCCAACUCCUGGCCCUGCACAGCACUAUCCCCAAGAGUCACACCAUGUGCCUGAGAGCAUUGUCCAAAUGCUUAUUGAACUCUGUCAGGUGUGGUGCUGUGACUGCUUCCCUGGGGAGCUGUUCCAGUGCCCAACCAUCCCCUGGUGAAAAACCUUUUCCUAAUGUAUAACCUAAACAUCACCUGACACAACUUUAGGCCAUUCCCUUGAUUGCCGUCACUUGUCACCAGAGAGGGGAGAUCAGUGCCUGCCCCUCCUCUUCCCACUAUGAGGAAGUUGAACACUAUGAUGCCUCCCCUCAGUCUCCUGUUCUGCAAGAUAAAUAGACCAAUUGACCCCAACUGUUCCUCAUACAGCUUCUUUUCGAUUUUCUUUUUUUUAUUGUAUGAAGUGAAAAAGGAGACUUAAGACAAAAAAUAAAUUUCCUGCCUCAAACCCCGUAUCUUUUAGGGACUGAAAGGAUUCCAACCAUCCUAAACAUCAGGAGGCCACACAGAGUACAGUCAGUAUCUUAAAGAGAAAGACUCCAGAGUUUUAGAGAUCAGCUUCUCAAACAGAUUUGUGACCACAACACCUUCAGCAUUGUUUAGGAGAAGUGGAUAAACGAGCAGAUCAAGAGCUCUUGGUAUCCUAUCUCAGUCUAUAAGUAGCUCUAGUUUAGACACAGUUGAUGUGGUAUCUCCUACAGAGCACAUUGAACUGCUUUGGAGGUGACAAGUCAAAAAUCCCACUCAUGAAACUACAAAGGAAGAGUAUUACCCUCUUACUAAGAGCUGGUGGCAAGAAUAGCUCAUGUCUGAAAGGCAGUAGCUGCUGGCUUAAUUCAAAGUGAACAAAAUUUCAUGAGUCUGAACUAGAAAUGAUCCUGCUGUUUGCCUCCAGUUGGGGUGAGUGUGGAAGCCUAAUUUCUGCCCCAAUUCCCCUGUAACAUGAACAGUUUUCAUGUUUUCUCUUUACCAGCAUUACAAUGGCAGUCAGAUACACUUGGUGGAAUUUUAGGCGUGUAUCAUAUGCUGCUUAUCUGCUGUUUUCAAACUGGCUCAAGGCAUGGACAAAGUAGGAGUUUGUUAGCAGUGUAAAUCUGCAGUCACUGCGCUGAAGCCAAUGGGAAACUGAACUGAAGCCUUGGGCCACAGGCUGGAAGGAAGUGCAUUGAACAUCUGGGGCAGGCAGGAAUGCAUGACUCACCCUGCAGCAUCCUCCCUCUGGCAGACGCUUGGUGCAAAGUAAACAUAUUCUGGAGAAUUUCAGAGCAGUCUUUUCUCAAAAGAAAAGGGGUUUUUAAAGUCUAUAUGUGUGGGUGAAGGUAUAAAAUUACUGGAUAGAUUCCAUGGAUCACAGAUCAAAGCAAGCCCCUUAGUAUGACGCUACUGCAAGAUGCUGGAAUUGCCUUUAAGGCUAAGAUUUGCUAGCAUGACUAAUGGUUUUGAGUCUCCUAUUUGGGACACCAGUGAGAGCUCUUAUAUUUUGGGUGCUUUUACGUCUGUCCUUGGACAUAGUAGGGACUUAUACCAUAGAAAUAACCUAAAUAACCUGGGAACAGUCCCUGGUGAGACUGACUAUACCACUCUCCCAAGCUCACAUCCAUAAAUGGCUCUCUCAAUCUAACUUAACCUCCUGGGUCAGCAAGUCACUGGGUGAAUCUUGCUGUUUGCUUUCUUUGUUAACGAGCUUUAUUUCUCAUUAAGGUGUUCUCUGUUCAUGACAGUUUUCACAUGAAAACAUUUUUUCUUUAGCAAACAUUUGUUUGUGCAGCUAUAUUCCCAAGUGGGGUUAGGUCUUAGUGUGACUGCUUUCUUUCCUCAAUCAUCUGGUAUUAUUUCUGAUCCUUGUUCUGGAUGAGUGCAUGGUGAGUGCGAAUAAUAAGUGAGGAGAGAGUAUGGUCAGGCUAAUUUGGCCUUUAUUUCAGUUACAGGCAGUUGGGGAAUAGGCUCUGGAGCCAAGGCUGGGUGUGUUGGCAGGAAUAGGGAAUUUUAAUUGAUAUUUUAAACCUUCUUUCCUUUGGCCAAUUUGAGUCAGACUCUGAGAUAUUAAUCUAGUAUUAGGCAACUGUGCUAUUGUUGACCUGAUUCAAUUAAAAAUAAAAUUUCUUUCAUUGAGAUCACAUGAAGUAGCCAAGUGUCCCCCAUGUCCUUCUUUCCCAUGAAGAAUGUGACUCAGUCAUUAUCUAGUUUUCUUAAACAUCUCUGUGCUAGGAAUCCAACUGGGAAUUUUAGGCAGUUGUAGCUGAAAAAUAUGUGAUUGUGUACAUGUCAUUAUCUUGUUUAACUAUGUUUCAGCAGAACUAUGGCCUAGAGGUUUGCAGACAUAGACCCAAAAGUCACAGCAUUGUGGGUGUUAGGUAACAUAUGAAAUUUAUCUGGCGACCUGAAGAAUGUUCUGCUGGAGCUGACUACUUGUCCAGAAUUCUGUGGUUGGAUACGGAGCUUCUGGAGAA